rnacentral:lncRNA from 1 species
AUCCAGGCAUGGAGUGAAACAACCAAGAAAUCCAUGGUUUGAUGGUCCAGAAUAUGUGACACAAUGUCCAAUCUUACCGGGGACAAAUUUUACCUAUCAAGUUCAGUUGAGCACAGAAGAAGGAACACUAUGGUGGCAUGCUCAUAGUGAUUGGACUAGAGCAAGCGUUCAUGGUGCCAUUGUCGUCUUGCCUGCUCUUGGAACAACAUUUCCAUUUCCUGAGCCUGAUGAAGAGGAGAUCAUUGUGUUUGGUAAGACGAUAUUCUGGCCUAGUCGAUAUUGCUCUGUAUUACUUAAUUUCAAGCAUAGGUGCAUCCAAUAUAUGCUAAGUUAGUACACUAAUUCCAAUUGCAGGAUCUUGGUAUUUGGGUAAUUUGAAAGAACAGGUUGACGAGUGUUUGGAACCUGCAACUAACUCUAACUUACCCAUAGCAGCAGGUUACACAGUAAAUGGCCGCCUUGGAGAUUUCUCUCCAUGCUCCAAAAGUAAGCAUAUAUAUAUAUGUCUUUAUCAGGUGGUUCACCUGAAUAGUUUGUUACUUCGAGUAAUGUACGUAUUUCCACAUUGCAUAUGCUUGUAGAUACAACUUAUCGUCGUAAGGUGGACUACGGCAAGACAUAUCUUCUACGGAUAGUGAAUGCAAACAUCGAUGUAGAGUUUUACUUUGCCAUUGCUGAACACAACCUCACUGUGGUUGGUUUGGAUGGCUCCUAUGCCAAACCCAUUAACACAGACCUUAUAGUGAUAGCCCCUGGACAAACAAUGGACGUGUUGCUCAACGCAAAUUCGACUCAGGGGAGAUAUUAUUACAUGGUCGGAAGAGAAUACUUAAGUGCUACAGUUGACACAGCAUCUGACGAUGAUGCUAUUGCAAUCCUUGAAUAUAAUGGCAACUAUACCACUUCAGAAGCUCCUUUAUUUCCUGAACAGAUUCCCGAUUCCUUAUCCCAAGCACCAGCACUCAACUUCUACAGAAAAAUUAGAAGCUUAGCUACCCCAGAAUAUCCUGUAAAUGUUCCAAAAGAGAGUGACGUUACUACCAGAAUGUACAUAACAGCUUCGGCCAACGCUCUUUACUGUACUGAAGAUUUAGGUCCUACAUGCUUCAACAUAUCUUUUGCCGCAAGCGUCAAUAAUAUUAGUUGGGCCAAUCCAUCAGAAUCCAUCUUGCAAGCCUACUACAAGUAAGAUACAUGUGCAUUUACUAUGAACUAGAUUCAUGAAAGCUAGCUUGUUAUGGUUAUAUUCCCACCUGAAAAUUGGUUUUGAGUGAUCUUUAUGUACAUGUAGGAACAUAAGCGAGCCGGUUUACGAAACAGAUUUCCCAGACGAGCCACCAGUUUAUUUCAACUUCACCGAAAUAGCCAUGACACUAGAUCCAGUGUUAACAGUCCAAGGGACAAAGGUGAAGGUGCUAGAGUAUAAUGAAACAGUUGAGAUGGUGUUUCAAGGCACUGAAGUGAUGGGAGGUUCUGUAAAUCAUCCAAUGCACUUGCAUGGACAUAGCUUUUAUGUGCUUGGUUUUGGUUAUGGGAAUUACUUCGCCGAGAGGGACUCAAAAACCUUUAAUCUGAUUGAUCCUCCUUAUGUAGCAACAUUCAUCACUCCAAAAAAUGGGUGGUUAGCUAUCAGAUUCGUAGCGAAUAAUCCAGGUAAUAUCCCUCUCUCCAAACUUGCAUAUAAACUAAAGAGCCUAACUAAAUUGUGAGAUUCUAAAAACUGAUGUAUGAUUUCUGUUGCAGGUGUGUGGUUUUGGCAUUGUCAUAUGGAGAGACACUUGACAUGGGGUAUGGAGUCUGCUUUUAUAAUCAAGGACGGGGGUACACCUGAGACUAGCAUGCUCCCUCCUCCGGCUACAAUGCCUUCCUGUGACGUUCCAUUGGAUUCUGCUACUCUCCCAAGUAACUCGGAAUUGAAUAAGAAUCAAAUAGAGUAAUUGAUGAAUUAAUGAUUAUGUCUUCAGUUGUACUGUUUAAUUUGAUAAAACUCGCAUAUUCCAACUUGUACGUAGAACUUGAUCGAACACACAUCAACAGUGAAGUAUUGAUUUUUAGCAUUGAUCAGGAGGAGACAUCUUUUUAAUUGAAAUCACACAGUUUCCUUAGCGAUUUCUAGAUCAAGAGACAGGAGGCGGGUGUUUAGGUUAUAUAUAUAAUUCUACAGGAACAAAACAUGUUAUUCAGAUCGCCGACGAUGAUGAGAUUUGCAACACGCCGCCGAGAACUAUGGGUUUCCAGCUACCAUUUAGAACGAAAGUUUCGUUUCACUAACUAAUAACAGGGAGUGCCACAAACCAACGUAACAUUAAUCUCAGGGCGUCACUCCACAGUUAGAGCCCAGACGUUGUGUAAAGACACACAAUCGUCUAAACGACUGUUAUACAGUUGUUCAGAAUAUUGAUAAUUUUAUAUAAAGAUACACAAUCGUUGUAUAUGCAUCGACUAGGGUUUAGGAUUGGGGUAAGACUAUGGUAUGUUUACAUUUCUCAUACAUCAAUUACUUUAUAUAUAUAAUGAGAGGAUGUGAAGCGGACGUCCGCACUCCGGCUUAAAGUGCGGACAUUGUUCUUUCUCCGCCGUCUCACGCCGGCGACGGCUUCUCUCCUUUCCGGACGACAGCACAGGCUUCCAGGACGGCUUCUCUCCUUCCAGAACUGGCCGGCAACAAGUUUUCCAGCCAACCUUGAUCAAUCAUGGUGUUUUCCGUCCAGAGCUUCAAUCCGGCCGGAAAACUUGUCGCCGGCCAGUCUUGGAAGGAGAGAAACUGUCCUAGAUGCUUGUGUUGUCGUCCAGGAAGGAGAGAAGCGGUCGCCGGCGUGAGACGGCGGAAAACAGAUAACGUUCGCACUUUAAGCCGGAGUGCGGACGUCCGCUUUACAUCCUCUCUGUGUAUAUAUAUAUAUAUAUAUAUAUAUAUAUAUAUAUAUANNNNNNNNNNNNNNNNNNNNNNNNNNNNNNNNNNNNNNNNNNNNNNNNNNGCAAGAGUCAGCUUAUACCUGUCAGUGUGACAUAACGGACAUGCAUCAAGGCCACCAAGGUCAUUCCCUUUUGGAUCUUUACCCUAGAAGAGAACGCAGUCAUAUCUGCAUGCAUGGAUCUUGAUGUAGGAAAGCCCAAGAUCUUUCAGGAUACAUCGGACCUUAUGAUGAGUGGUAGGAAGACGAUGACCGUAGGGUAGCAUCGAAACAGUGUACUGUAGAUAAUCAUCAACAGCCUUCACGGUCAAUUUUGUCUCAACUUUAAUCUUCAUUACGUCCAUCACACUUUCAAGAACGGUCUUCUGACAACCGGGGUACACAGGGGUCUGUUGAAAAGCAAGCAGUUUGUUGUACUUGUCAAUACCAGCAGUGUUGACAGCUCUAGGGAAGAGCUGCACCGGGUCAGACAUAUACUGUCCUUGAGCACAUACACCGCUCUCAUAAGGAAACAUGUCGUUGAUGAAGGCCGUUGUUGGAUUGUUAGAUGUACUGCCCGUCUCAGAAAAUUGGCCAUGAUCAUGCGGACCCCCUGAUGAUGUUUCACCGUGAUAUAACCAACAUAUGUACUUCUCCCAAAACCCGUUACUCUUCAGGUGCUGCCAUACUUUGUCAAUCGCAAAUCGAUGCAUAUCGCUGCGACACUGACAUUUCGUGCACGGGCAAUAGAAAAUUGUAUUCCCGUUAGCAUUAGCCAACGCAUAUUCCAGAAAACUCAUAACUCCUUUACCAUAUCUUUUGUCCCAUUUUGGAAGCGAAAUCCAACUCUUAUCCAUAUCCUGAAAAUAUAACAAAACAUAUAUGUAUAACGCUAGCUAAUUAUUAAUUAAAUUCUAUGCCAUAUAUAAAAUCUCAAUUCAUUUAGUAUAUAUUCUAGGUACUACAACUAAUUGAUAACAAAUUAAUUAACACACACACACACACACACAUAUAUAUAUAUAUAUAUACAGUUCUUAUCUAGAGCGAAGCUUCACUUUGAAAUUAAAGUGUGAAGUUCCUUAUCUGACUCAUUUUUCAGUCAUAUUUCGACAUCUCCACCGUUCUGUUUAUUGAUACUAAUACAUAGAUCAUUCUUGCAAAAUUUCAUUCAAAUUUGAUGAUCAUUUAGAUACCGAAUUAAGUGAAAUCAAUGAACAGACCAUAAACCUGUCUGACUAGAACUGUUUGUGUAAAUCAUGAUUAUAAACACUCAAACGAUCAUCAAAUUCGAUAAAACUUUACAUAAGUGAUCUAUGCAUCUGAUUCUACAAAGUGAACGGUGGAGAUGUCGAAAUAUGACCGAAAAAUGAGUUAAAUAAGGAAUUUCACACUUUAAUUUCAGAACGAAGCUUCGCUCUGGAUAGAAACUGUAUAUAUAUAUAUACUUAUUAAUUACAUAACAAUAUUAUAUAUAUCAACAUCAUCACAAAAUCAUCAUCAACAACUUUAUACCAUCAACACAAUAUUAUAAAUUAAUUAACAUAUAUAUAUAUAUAUAUAUCUACUACUUAUGAACNNNNNNNNNNNNNNNNNNNNNNNNNNNNNNNNNNNNNNNNNNNNNNNNNNUAAAUUUCAUUAAGAGAAUAAAAUAUAUAAUAAAAAUGAAGGUCCAUUAAAUGUUUAUUAAGAGAAUCAUAAAUUUUUUAAAUAAAUAUUUAUUUAUAAAUUAUAUAUAAAUAUAUAUAUAAUAAUAAAUUAUAUAAUUAUAUAUAAUAAUAUUUUCAUUCUUAAUGGGUGGGGAUGGAGACGAAUAUCAAAAUACCAUACCCUCCUCGUACCCGAUUUAAGAAUCCGAAUACUGAGGAUCCUUAUCCCCAUUACCCGUUUAUACCCGUAUAUCUUCCCCGUUAGGGUCGAAUACCCGUGGGUACCUUACCCGCUGGGGAUUAUUGCCAUCCCUAGUUGGGGGAGGAGGAGAUGGAGAUAGAGGACAAAAACGUACCUUACCGUAAACAACUUGCAAACACGUGCUCCAGACAGCUUGAGUACUGCGUACAUUACCUGCAUCAUAACUUCAUAAGCUCUGAAAAUUGAAAGUCCUUGUAUCUGUGUGUCCAUGUAGAGAAAGUAUAGCCACCACUGUUGCAAUAGGAGUGACAAUUAAUGUAGGAAAAGAAAAUGGAGAAUUUUCAUAUACACCCAAUUUUGAAGAGCGGUUUUAAAUAAAACCCACCUAAUAUUCUUAUCUGAUAGACAUCUAAAAUGUACCAAUUAUGAUAAAUAUUAUAUCCUAUUUUUUUCUAAAUUUUACACAAUUGCCACCAUUCAACUAUAACAUAUUAAUAUAAUAAAUAAGCUUAAUUGAUGAUGUCAUAAAUACCUUGAUUAUGGGUUUUUCUUCUAACACUAACAUUUUUCAAUCAAUUUGCAAGAAUUAUGUAGUUAAAGGAAUUCAUUCUCUAAUCUAUACAUAAGGUAAAAUAUAAUAUGAAUAAGAUAUCUGAUCUAAACCCUAUACCCUAAAACCUAAACCCUAUACCCUAUACCUUAAACCCUAUACCCUGAAUAAGAUAUCUGAUCUAAACCCUAUAACCUAAACCCUAAACCUAUACCCUAACUCUAUACCCUAAACCCUAUACCUUAACCCUAUACCCUAAACCCAAUUUUGGGUUUCUUCUUUUUAGGUAUAUUAUCAUAUCAUGUCAUACUUAAUAGGUACAUUAGAAACGUAAGUAGUAAAGAGAUGUUCUCUCGAUUAGGAUGGGAAAUGAUAUAAUAAUAUAUCUAAAAAGAAGAAAAUUAAUCAAAGAACAAAAAUGCGUACCUUACAAUUAGACAUUUUCGACUAUGUAGAGAAACACCAAAUGUGAGCUUAGGAAUGAAAAGUAUCAUCCUAUUACAAAUGACAUACUUUUGUAUAUAGCAUAUAUAUAUAUAUACACUUAAGUUAGUAAUAACAAGGUAAGAAAUUAAAGAAUGUAAUUGAUUAUGACAAAGUUAAAUCCAACUAAAUUUUAGCUAGUAUUUGAGUUUCAAAUUAAUGCUAAAAUUGAGAAACAUACCAAAUUUAGCUUUCUACUGUUUGAAGGGCAAAUUAGAGAAACCGAAAAAUGAAAAAAACUAUUAAUUAUAGACAUUUGCUCUAUAUGGUAUGUUUGCUUAUGUGGAGUGGGUGUAAAAUAAAACAAAAAUAUGUAUGUGUUUAUCUUAAAAGAUGUCUAGUAUUUUGAGUUUUUAUUUAAUUUUCUCAAAGGAAAAUGUAAUCAAUGUAAUCUAGCUUGUACGUUUUUGCAGCACAACAGUACAGUGGAAUAUUAGUUCCCUUCGGUCUGUUUGGUGUUGUAACUUGUAAUUCCAUGGUCUGGUUCCUAAUUAGUAGCUACCACAGUUGCGUAGGCCCAAGCCGAAUGGGAAGGCAGCUUGCCAACAACUACCUGGCCGAGCUUAAUUGCCAACUACCUGAGCGAGUCCGGCCAUGGCAUUUGUGAUUGUAAAGACCAAGAAAUCAAGCUACUACCUAUCUUUUAACAGCAAAUCCAACAAAAAUCUUCUUGCAACCAAAAUCAAUUACAAAAUGUGGAAAAGACAAACGAAAUAUUAGAAGUAUCACCAGACUUUCGCAGUCGUCACGUCACUGAAUGCAGUGUAAAUGGGAACAAAUUUGUUCUAUGCCUUUGUUGGAUGUAAUACCAUUAUUGUUGUAGUGCUUGUAGAAAACUCUUCGAUCGAGCUUGAAUAUGGACAUGAUAAUAAUAUGAGAGUUUUUGGAGAUAUAUCGAGAGCAAAAUAUCAUGAUUCUUUCAUCAAGAUUCAAACUCCAUUUUCUAUUUUGGAAAACUGAAAAUGGCAGGUGCACACACGUUAAUGGUUGGCCCCGUACCGUAGUUUUCGAACUUUUUGGUAAGAAAGGUUGUUAAGAAGAACAUAUAUACCUACAUGAAAUCAACAUACUUGAGGAACGCAUAAAUUUAAGCAGUGUGCGCAAAUCUGUAGCUCCCUAGAUUUCAAAUACUUCACAAACAAAUGCGCGCAGCACAGAUUGAAAUCUUUGAGGAGUACUAGUACGUAGUCCAGUCAUGGCGACACAGUUUCUAGUGUUCGCUGUUCUUAUUGUCAUCCUACUGGUGUUCAGCUCUUUUGCUCAAUGCGAAGUGCAUUACCAUGAUUUUAUAGUAAGUAAAUUUUUUGAUGCUUUAUAAUUUCCCAGUUCGAUCAUCUAUUCCCUUCAAGCAUUCGAGUAUCUAUAUUCUACGUUAUUCAUUCCAGCUAUCUUUGUUUCAUGCAUGGAAUGAUGGAAUCGUAAUAUAACUAAUUUGUUCUGAUCUUUUACUAGUUUAGUUAUGUGCAUCUUGGUAAUUGCAAUUUUUGAUCUAUUAGGUUAAGGAGGUAAACUUCACUAGAUUGUGUGAAACAAAGCUCAUGUUAGUAGUAAACGAGAGUUAUCCAGGUCCAGCAAUACGAGCUCGCAAAGGAGACACUAUUUAUGUUAAUGUCUACAAUAAAGGAUAUUACGGAUUCACCAUUCACUGGCAAGUCCCUUCACACCACCUCCUCCUCUUAUCAGUUUAUAUAUAUAUUGCUUCCUUGUACUUUACAUUAUUAAAUUGAUCAUCUUUUAUCUUUGUAAAUUAACAUGCAAACACUUGGUAUGAUGAUCCAGGCAUGGUGUAAAACAACCAAGAAAUCCAUGGUUUGAUGGCCCAGAAUAUGUGACACAAUGUCCAAUCUUACCUGGUACUAAUUUUACCUAUCAAGUUCAGUUGAGCACAGAAGAAGGAACACUAUGGUGGCAUGCUCAUAGUGAUUGGACUAGAGCAAGCGUUCACGGUGCCAUUGUUGUAUUGCCUGCUCUUGUAACAACAUUUCCAUUUCCGGAGCCUGAUGAAGAGGAGAUCAUUGUGUUCGGUACACACGCACUUGGCCUAGUUAAUGUUGUUCAAUAUUCAACUAUACACUAGCUACCUAAUUACAUGCAUAUGUGCAUCAUAUAUAUGCUAAGUACACUGAUCUAAUUGCAGGAUCUUGGUACUUGGGAAAUUUGAAAGAAGAAGUCGACGAGUGUUUGGACCCUGCUACUAACUCUAACUUACCCAUAGCAGAUGGUUACACAAUCAAUGGCCGACUUGGGGAUUUUUCUGCAUGCUCCCAAAGUAAGCAUAUAUAUGGAUUUAUCAGGUGGUUCACCUUGCUAGUAUGUUACUUAAACUAAUGGAGUUCCAUAUUACAUAUGCGUGUAGAUACAACUUAUCGUCGCAAGGUGGACUACGGCAAGACAUAUCUUCUUCGGAUAGUAAACGCAAACAUCGAUGUAGAGUUUUACUUCGCCAUUGCUGAACACAGCCUCACUGUGGUUGGCUUGGACGGCUCCUAUACCAAACCUAUCAACACAGGCUAUAUACUGAUAGCCCCUGGACAAACAAUGGAUGUGUUGCUCAACGCAAGUUCGUCUUUGGGAAGGUAUUACAUGGUCGGAAGAGAAUACAUAAGCGCUACAGUUGAAACACUCUCCGACACUGCGAAUGAUGCUAUUGCAAUCCUCGAAUAUAAUGGAAACUAUACCACUUCGGAAACUCCUUUAUUUCCUGAUCAGAUUCCCAAUUCCUUAUCCCAAGAACCAGCAUUCAGCUUCUACGGAAAACUUAGAAGUUUAGCCACCCCAGAAUAUCCUGCAAGUGUCCCAAAAGAAAGUGAGGUUACUACCAGAAUGUACAUAACAGCUUCUGCCAACGCUCUUUACUGUACUGAAGAUUUAGGUCCCUCAUGUGUUAACAUAUCUUUUGCUGCAAGCGUCAAUAAUAUUAGCUGGGCUAAUCCGAGGGAAUCUGUCUUGCAAGCCUACUACAAGUAAGUUACAUAAGUUCGAACUAGAUGUUUGCAUUGGAAGCUAGCUUGUUAUACUUGAAAAUUGGUUUUGAUGGAUCUUUAUAUACAUGCAGAAACAUAAGCGAGCCGGUUUAUGAAACAGAUUUCCCAGACGAGCCACCUACUUAUUUUAACUUCACUGAAAUAGCAAUGACACUAGAUCCAGUGCUAACAGUCCAAGGGACAAAGGUGAAGGUGCUAGAGUAUAAUGAAACAGUUGAGAUGGUGUUUCAAGGCACUGAUGUGAUGGGAGGUUCUGUAAAUCAUCCAAUGCACUUGCAUGGACAUAGCUUUUUUGUGCUUGGAUUUGGUUUUGGGAAUUACUUAGCCCAGAGGGACUCAAAAACUUUUAAUUUGAUUGAUCCUCCGUAUGUAGCAACGUUCAUCACUCCAAAAAAUGGAUGGUUAGCUACCAGAUUCGUAGCGAAUAACCCAGGUACUUGCAUAUAUCUCUCCAAACUUGCAUAUAUGAGAGUAAUAUUUGAUGUAUGAUUUCUGGUGCAGGUGUGUGGUUUUGGCAUUGUCAUAUGGAGAGACAUUUGUCAUGGGGUAUGGAGUCUGCUUUUAUAGUGAAGAACGGGGGCACACCGGAGACUACAAUGCUCCCUCCUCCGGCUACAAUGCCUUCCUGUGAUGUUCCACUGGAUUCUUCUACUAUCCUAAGGCAUGCGGAAUUAAGUAAAAAUCAACUAAAGUAAUUAAUAAUAAUGUUGAGGUCAUGAGUUCAAACCUCAUCAACAUAUAUAUGUAAAGUGCGUGAUUAAAUAGUAAUAAAAAUAAAUUAAAAAAAAAAUAGAGUAAUUAAGUAAUCGUUCAUAUCGGUUGAUCUAUCGUAGCAAGUGUAAUGCCUUGUGUAGUCACCGACUCACCAUUACCAUUUGUCAUGAUGUUGCUUUUGUUUAUACUUGUUAUGUACAAUAGUAUAUAAUGAAGGGAAAAUUUUAAGAACAGUACAUGAAGUAUGAGUCAUUAAGAAUUAAGGUGAAUAUACUUCAUAAAAUAUCACAAUUGUGCAUGAGGUUGAAAAUGAUACACACUUUUAGUACCUACCUUUACUAACACCAUUAACCCUUAUGUCAUUAUUUAUUUUUCAAAGGGCAAUCUAGUCAUUCCAUCUCACCCUCUCUCUCAUUCUCUCUCCUCCUCUUUUCCCUCUCCGACACGGAACUCCUCCUUCCUCUCCAUUGACAACCACAAUCCAAUUUCUCUCUCUUUUAGAGAACCCACAACCCCUCUCUUCUCCUCCAAAGACCCACACCCCAAUUUCUCUCUCCCUCCCAGUAAGGUCCUUAUGAGCAAUAAUCUCGAUGGAGAUUUUGGAAGGGUCGGGUUUAAUUUUGGAUCUGAGUUCAAGAAAGUUUGAUUUGUGAUGGAAUUCUGAUAUUUAUAGCUUUGAGUAUGAUUCCGGAUCUGAGAUCAAGAUAGUCAGGAUGCAACCAUUGAGUGGCCGAAAAGAACAAUCAGAAGUAGACUUGGGUUGCAACUGUUGAUGAGGGAUGUAUGUGUUUUGGCCACAAUCCUCAGCAAGGGUAGAGAGGUAACUUAGCAGUUCCAAAAGCAAAACGACGGGUGCAGGCGUGUCACCGUGCGGACGCGGAACGUAGAUGCGCUGGUACUGGACUUCUAAUCAAACGAAAGGGGCUCCGGUGCCACCUUAUGGAUGAGGGAUUACAAGUAACAUUCCUAUUCGCUUGCAAUCGAUACUCACUGUUGUAGCGAGCAAAGCAACUAAUCAGGACAGUAAACAAAGGCGAGACCAAACGGACUCUAUAAACUAAGGCGAGAUGCACUUUAGCGUUAGGAUUUUAAGUAGCUCGAAGAUUUGUUAUAGUUGUUGUAUGAUUUGAUUGUGUAGAGAGCUCAACCGGAUCCUCGAACUCCCUUAUAUAGAGGCGAGCUCGUUUAGAUGUUGAUAAGGAUCGGUAUUCUCUGCAUAGUCGGUUGAGUUGCACAAGGUUUCAUCUUCCUUGACAACACGUAUGUAGACUUAUUUUAAGGCCACAGGUAUUGGCCCAAAAUGAGAUACAAGUCUCCAACAUUGAGAUAUUUUAUAUGACAAUGCUAGCUAUCUCCAUAUUGAAUCAAAACAGGAGUUACUUUGAUAAGGUGUCAUAGGCAUACUAAUCACCUCUUCGCCGAUACUUUCUUUAAAGAAAGAAGAGUUCGCUACGUGUGCACCUCUUGGAGAUGUGCAUAUGCAUGUCCUUAAUCAAAUAGAACAUUACAUUGCUACUGGACUAUUCCACCUUCAGCCAUGCAACACGGAUGGUUAAUUGGAUAUAUAUAUAUAUAUAUAUAUAUAUAUAUAUAUAUAUAUAUAUAUAUAUAUAUAUAUGAAAGCUUGAUAAUUAAUAGUCCACACUCCCUCUCUUAUGCGAAGUCUUCCACCAUGACUGCAAGAAGACCUCUUCGCAUGCAAACCUUAUCCAGCUCGCAUGAAACUUUAGUCCUUGUGUGCGAAGGCUUCUACACAGCUCGCAUGCUAGUUUCUUCGCAUGCAAACUUCUAGACUCACGUGAACUUUACCGACUAGCUCGCAUGUUUUUGCUGGCGAGCCAUCAUUAGUAAACCCAAUAUUUCGGGCUCGCCGGUGUGACGUGGACCAUGAAUUUAACUAAUAUUCAUAUAAACAAUUAUUGUCCAGUAAAAUAUUAAUUCCGGGUGUAAACAAUAUGUGCUUGAAGAUGAAGAGAAGGUGCCCAGAUUAGUUUCGUGGGUGUCCAGUCUCUCCUCACUCGUCGUAUUGAUAGUCCAAGCUUUUGAGUUUGAAUCCUCAACUUCUCCUCACUCUUCAAACCAGAAUCUUAGAAGUCCCUGAAACCUUCAUCAAAAAUCUCAAUACCAGAAAACCCUACCACUUAUAUUCAUUAUUGAUGCAAAAUCCUAAUCAUUUUGUAUCUGUUUGGAAGAAAAAGAUAAAUAUUGGAUCUAUAUGUGAUGGGUUCUUAUUUGACCGGUGUUCGGAGAAAAUGAUUGACGUACAAUAUGGAGGUAGUGGAACAAAGAAGUAGUGAGAUUGGUCAAGUCUGCAUUUUCUAUUUUUUUGUCUGUUUCUUCAGUAUCACUUAAGAGACGAUUUUGUCCUCAAAAAAUUAACGGAAUCAAGUAGACUAACAGUCAAACUGACGGUAUGUAUAUAUGUGGAGUUGGGAUUUAAACUACAGGUACUAUUGUUCUGUUUUAUAAAGUUAAUUCACCUUAAUUCUCAGUGGCUCGUACUUGAUGUAUUCUUAAAAUUUUCCCUAUAAUGAAAUAGUAAGACUUCAGAAAACCCACAUUUUUUAUUUUGUUUGGUUCAAUAAUGCAUAAAUUUUGGGAACGCGACAUGCUCAAUUUCGUUCUUGUCUACAAUUAGGAUUCACUAUCUGCUAAUGGAAGUGUUGUUGAAUAUAUGAAGUAUGUGGUUUGUAUAACAAACUACGAGAGAUUUCAGUUAAUUUGUAAGAAGUUGUUUUGCUGGAAAAAAACGGUCAUCUCGACGUCAUGGUGCUUUCACCUCACGAGGCUUCACUAAGUCGCAUUUGCUUUUGCUUUUGCAUCGACAAUAUCUUAUGAAACCUUUGCACUGGAGAUCCAAGGGUUCUACCAGAACCUCCUCCCGGCCUAAUUCUUUAUCCAAAUGAUACUUUGGGAAGUGUGGAACCAUAAAAGGAAAAAUGGACCGAACAAUAUCUCACUUUUUAGAGAAACUAACUUUUGGUAUCUCAACUUUUAAAAACUUCAUAACGGUAUCACACAUUCUUACCCCGACUGAAAAUGGUGCCCGAAACAGUUAACUCCGUUAAAUGACUGACGGAAGACAAAUUUUGAUGGGUAUUUCCGUCCGUUCUCAUCUUAAUUCUUUUCUUUCUUUAUUUUAUAAACACUGAUUUCUCUCUUAGUUUCCUUAUUGGCUUAUUCUUUCUAGUUUCUUCCUCAUUCUUUCCAUGUUGGUGCUAACAUCUUGGCCGGUGGUGCUUUUGACUGUGCUUCAAUGGACCCAGCAGUCUCAUUCGGACCCGCCGUCGUCAACUGGUCAUAGGACAGCCACUAGUGUACUUGCUCGGGGUAUUUCUCGGUGUCAGCAUUGUUGCUAUCAUCCACGACUGGAUCUUCAUCGGCCCAACUACCCAUGAGCCACUACCUACCACAGACUUAGGGCUGGCAAUUUGGGCCAUGUCGAAACCAACUAACCUACCCAUGAGCCACUACUUGGUACGGUAUACCGUACCAGUACUUAGUAACAUGGUUGAUACUUAAUAUUGAGAUUUUCUUAUCAUCGGUAUACCGUACCAACUAUGUAUGUGUAAUUAUGCAAAAAUACACUCAUAUCUAUGUAGGAAACGAGAAUUAAAUCUUUAACCUCUUACAAACAACCUAUAAAAUGUAUAAUAUAUAUAAAGACAAUUAAAAUAUAUGUAUAAUAUAUAAUAUAUGUAUUGUUUUAUAUUUAUAACAUACUAUAGAUAUAAAUACAAUUAAAAUAUAAAAUGUUUAAAUUUUAGCAAGAGGUAUGUUCCAAAACUAUGACUGCUCUGAUGGAAAAUAUGAUCACAUACCAUCAGACCAAAGCUAUCAUUGCAUUAUAUUUUUAAAAAAAUUAUAUUUAUCACUUCAUUUUUUGGGCCACAAUCUAAACUUAGUAGAGGCAUAUUACCAACCGAGUACCAACUAUACCAACUAAGUCGGUAUACCAACUUCGGUGGUUGGUUUUGGUAGAGGAUUUUGUCUAUCAAUCAUAAGUUAGUUGGUACAUGGUAUUAGUAAAUAAAGUCGGUAUACCAACCAAUGUCAGCCCUACACAGACUACGCUCAUGCAUCAUUCACGCUUCCAAUCUCAGUCUAAUUGAUGAAAUCGGUUUUUGAAUUUUAGUUCUUUUUUCUUUUCCGCAGUGAAGUGGGUGGGUUUGUUGAAGUUUGCAUUUGGUUGUUGUUAAAUGUUGAUUCCAAUGUAUUGUUCUGUUUUUGUUCGUCUUGGGCUCAAUUCUUAAAGUUUGAGGCGCAAAUUAAGAGAGGCCUGAUCUGGAAUUGAAUAAUGAAGUAUAAUUAGUCACCAGCUGAAUAAAAAAAGCUAAUAGGCUACAACAAACCAAUUAGUUGUUAAUAUCAUUGUAUCAAUGUACCACAAAGAAUUUUCAGUUUUUGGAUUCGUCUGUUUCUCAUGCCAAUAAUCACAUAUCAAAUUCAAAACAGUAAUUGAGUUUCUUUCUCAUAUACUUCAAGUACGGAUAGAUGAAAUUUAUACAUGAAAGAGAACAAAUGGGCAGAUGAGAUUCAGUCUUUUGAAAGGGAGAGUUGGCGUGGACUGGGCAAGGAAAAGAGAUGUGAACUCUAGAGAAUGUUGAAACUUGAAACCCAGAAAAACCUCCCAAAAAAGGGAAAUUUGCUGGAGCCGCCUGUGGUGCGCCCAAUUUGAACAAUUCAAGGAAUAAAAGGAAAAAAAAUUUCUUUAUUUCUUUUAUUUUUUGAAAAGAAGAUUUAAAGAUAAAAACAAGAAUGAAGAGUAAAAUAGUCAUUUCAUGAUAAAAAUAUGUCUGUCGUCAAUAUUUUUAACAGAGCUAACGGUUUCAAAUAUCAUUCUUUAAUCAAGAUAAAAACGUGAAAUACAGUAAGAUUUUAAAAGUUGAGAUACCAAAAGUUAGCUUCUUUAAAAGAUAAGAUAUUGUUUGGACCAUUUUCCCUGUAAAAAAAUUGUAGAAGUGUUUUUCAGUCGACUCUCUCUGCUAGGGUUUUCCUAGAAAAGGAGGUGUUCAGGUUUAGGGUUUAGGGUGGCGUGGGCAAAUUUCAGGCGGCUUCGACGCUAGGAAGCAUGGAAGCGUGGCUCUGCCCACGAUUCGCGCUUCCGAAGCGGAAGCGAAGCGGAAUCGUGUCGGAAGCGGUCGGAAGCGCAUGGAAUCGCGCUUCCUGGAAAAAGGCUGUUUGGGAGCGCGACGGAAGCGCGAGCUUCCAAUUCGGAAGCGUACAAUUUUGAUCCGGAAGCGCCCAAAUUCCAAACCAAAUACCACCCAGCCCAAAAUCCAAACCCAAUACCACCACAAGCACCACCGACUUGUCUAGCCACCACCACCACCAAUAUUACCAAUCACCAUUCAUCGCUCUUCUUUGACACUGCUGACAUUUUAGACGACCCCGAAACCGAUUCCGGCGUCUAUCUAGUGCUAGAAGUACGAAAAGAACAAAUGGGUUUAGUGUGUACUGGUUCAAAUUGAUCAUUUGAUGGAUUUGUUGGUCAAAACUUUGCAGAAAGUUAUGAACUUGCUGCCGAAUUUGACGCCGGGAGAGGAAUUGGGAGGAAGGAGUGUACGGACAGGUGUUGGAGUAGAUGGGUGAGGGGCUGAGGACGCGCGUGAGGAGGGGUUGUUAUUGUGAUUAGGUUUUUUGUAUUUCUUUAAGUGAUGGGUUUCCUGCAGCCUUAUCUAGUUACUCCAUUCUAGAAUUUUUGUUUUCUUUGUUUUAUCUGAUGGUUACUCUUAGGAGUUAGGAUUAAUUUAUUCUUAGGGGUCUAUCAAAUUAUACAUUGCUAACUUAAGCUGAUCAUGUUCAUGUUCAUGAUCAUGAGAAUGAGGAUGAGGAUGAUGUCUUUGGUGAUUAAGUAGAUUAGUGUUUAUUUUUAUUUGAGUUAUUUGAUUGUAGAACAAUAACUUUGAAUUUGAAUUUGAUAAUGACUUUAAAUUUUCUAUUUAUUAAUUUUUGUAUAAUUAAAUAUAUAUAUAUAUAUAUAUUUAUAUAUGUAUUAUUUUAUUUCGACGCUUCCAGAACGCUUCCGCUUCCAAUAAAUUUUGAAAAAAAACGCUUCCACGUUUCCGCUUCCGAUUCCAUGCAACGUAGCUUCGACAGCACGGAGGAAUGCCCUAGAUCGUUCUUGUUGUUAGGGGUUGACAAUGGCUGACUUGUGGGCUGCGGCGUUGACUUGUGUGUUAUGUUUUCGAUUCAGGGGUGCCGGGUUCUUCUUGGCGGCAGUGGCUUAGAUCUGAUCUGGGUCUAGGUUCGGAUCGAGGUUUUUGUACCAAGGGUUGUGAUAUCUCUCAUCUAGUAUACUGCUAGUUCAGCAACAAGAGUUUGGCACGGCUGGGAUCGGGUUGUCCCAAUAUGAGUAAAAAUAUGGCAACUUUAGGAAGACUGUGAUGGUGGGAGGGGUGAGGUCGGCCGCCGAAAAUGGGCGGUGCCAGAGUUUGGAUCUGCCUGAAGUGAGGGAAGGAGAGAAGAGAGAUGGGGGUUAUGGCGGGUUAUGGACCUUGGGCCUCUAAUCUAUAUGGGCUGCAUAUAUGGCCUGGAUAGAUUAGCCCAUCCUCCUUUUUUUUUUUGCUUUUUUCAGUUUUGGAUGCUAAUUUCCUUUAUUUCCUUUUUGUUUAGAAAAUGGCCUAUAAUCUAUCGGGCCAAUUACAUAAAAGUCCACUUGGAGACAUUUUCUCUCAUAUACCCAUAUAGGUCCACCUAAACAUUUUUACCCACAUAAGCCUACCCAAGCCUAAAUAGAGUCUUAUAUUAGGUAUUAAAGUUCAACAAAAUUACAGACUGUCAUCCAACCAAAAAAUUAGAUUUUAUCUCUUCUAUUUACAAAAGUGCCACUAAUGUAAAAAGUCAACAACCACAAAUGGUCUCCGGUUGACCUCCGGCGAGGUCUCCGACCGACCUCCAACGAACUUUCCGGCCUACCAUCUAUGAGGAUUCUAGUGACCACAAAAGCUACUACCACUGACAACAAAAGAUACUACCGAUAGCAAAAAAAAGCUACUACCACCAGCAAAGAAAGCUACUACCGAUGGCAACAAAAACUACUACCGAUAGCAAUAAAAGCUACUACCGCGAGUAAAGAAAGUUACUACCGCCACCAACAAAAAAUACUACCGAUAGCAACAAAAGAUACUACUGCCAGCAGCCAAAGCUACUACUGCCAACAACCAAAACUACUACUGCCAACAGCCAAAGCUACUACUGCCAUCAACAAAAGAUACUACCGCCACCAACAAAAGCUACUACCGCCAACAACAAAAUCUACUCAUAUGAGAUUGAGAAAGAUACUAGCAUAGAAGUUGAAAAUGCUUCGAUUGUAUAUACAAAAUAUUAUUAUCGUGUUGAAAAGAUACUAAUACAGAUAUUAAAAAAUACUAAAAUUAUGUAGCUUUUUACAAUGAUAUAAUUAUAUAUAAAGCUACUUCUGUACUUAAAAAAAGUUACUAUUAUAGUUUAGAAAGUCUAUUGCAAUAGUUUUAUAAAGCUACUUCUAUAGUUUUGCCGUUCUUGAUUAACACGCGACUUUAUUUCAAAUAUUUCUUGGUUAGCCAAAUGAUCUAUCUCUUGGUUAAGAGAGGCUUCAAUAUCCAAAUCUGCAUGAGAUUUCUGCAAGAACAAAUGCACAACAAAAUAUUAGUAUUUGAAAUGAAAACUAAAAACAACAAUGAAAAUAAAAGCUACUCGGCCUUUUUGGCUCUUAGUGUCGAAAAUAUACUACCAAGUAAUUAAUAUAAAAACUACUCGACCUUUUUGGCUCAUAUAUAUAUUAGUCAUUCAUCAUUACAUCAUGUAUUUUAAAGCUUCAUAAAUCUAAUAACCAAGACAAUGCAUUAUGACAUACAAGAGAAUAGGUCAAUAUGCUUGCUAUUGAGAAUAGAAACUGUAAUACCCCGGAAUUUUUAGAUGCUAGUUUCUUUUAUUUUUAUUCGGUUGACUUUUUGGCUGACUUUUAAGAGGCUAAAAGUUGACUUUAUUUUUCGUAAGUUAUCUUCGAAAACUUCCUUCAUGAAAGUUGUAGAGUUUAUCGAUACGAGUUCGUAGACAUGUGGCACGCUUGAAACAGAGGUCGUAUGAAAAAGUUACGGUCAGAGGAAGUUAGUUUCCGAUUUUAGAAGGUAUAUAAAUAGAAAGUGGUGGGUUUUAUUUUUGGAAACCUAGCAGCCUCACUUUCUCUCUCCUCUCUCCCGACCUCCUCCCGCACUCAAACUUCUCUGGAUCGGUUCUCCUCCGUCCGGCCACCAUUUGGACCGCUGCUGGUCCCGUUCGACUCCUGCAGACAUCCUCUCCAUUUCUGGAGCAGUCCUGCUCGCCGCCUCGCCGUCUAGACGCCGCCACGAAGCGGCGGAGCUGCUGCGGUCUCACCGGAGUUCUUCUUGUUCCGGCCACCAAUCGGGACGCCGCCGGUCCCGUUAGACUCACACAGAUGCCCCCUUCAAUUCUAGGCUGGUGUGACACGGCGUAGAAAGCCAGAGACGGAGCUCUUGGCCGGAGAAGAGCACGGCUGUGUCACUGAUCGGAACCGCCGUUUGCGGCGGCGACGAGGGGCAACCCUAGGUGAGUUUUGGUCCUCUCCUCCUCCUGGUAGUGUCUAGGCAAAGAUUAAAGCAAGUUUUUGAGGUUUUGAGGCCGGUUUUGCAAGUUUGAGGUGUGAUUCCGGGUUAGGGUUCCAGGGCAGUUUCCGGCCGGUUCCGGCCAAAAUUGGUUGAAGCCUCAGGUAUGAAAGUUGCUCCCCUUGCUUCAAGCUUCAUCUUUGUUGUUGAGAGUUUUCUCUAAUUCGAAAGUUUUUGAUGGCGCGUGGGGCCCACUCGCCGCCGCCGCCUGUGGCGGCGCGUGGCAGCACGUCCGGUAGGGUUUGUGGCUUAGGCUGCUGUGUUUUGGCUAGCUCUUGUUGUGGUGAGCUUAUUGAGAUGUAGAUUUCCUAGGUUGUGCGCAAGGUAUACAUGAUAGGACUUUAAGUAUUUAGUAGGUUUGGUUGAGGGUUGAUUAGAAUUUGAGGAUUAGAGGCAACCAUUUUUGGGUCUCUAAGUUCGGCGACUUUGGAAAGUUGUCCUCUCUUGAACUAAGGGUUAGUUGAGGGUUUUGUGAUAACCUAUAGUAUUUUAGUUACUAAGGUUUUAAUUGUGUUUUUAGGUGAUUUAUGAGGUGGUGUUUUGGAUUGCUCUUGUUGUUGUGGAAAUUUCAGCGGGCUUAUAAGGUGAGUAACAUCUCACUAAGGUUCACUUUGUGACCUAUUUAUUUAUGGUUAUUUUGAUGAUUAUGAUUGGUGAAAAUGUUGAUGAUGAUGAGGAUGAUUUUUGUGUUGAUGAUGAUGAUAAUUAUUAUGAUGAUUUUAAAUUUAAAAAUUCUGUUUUUGGUUUGUUUUAAAAUAAUGAGCUUGAUCGCCAACGGCUCAUAGGUAAGCUAAAACAAGUUUUCCUUAUAUGAUUAUUUUAAGUUCCUUGUGAUCAUAAUUUUAUUGGUGAUUGAUAGAUUAUUUCUUGUGGAAAUAUCUAGAUUUAUUCAUAUAAUUAUAUCUAUGUGGAAGGAUAUAAUUUUAUGGUGUGCUCUUUGUGUUGUUGAUGAUGUUGAAUUAAAAAUAUGAUGAUGAUUUAAAUGUUAUGCUUUUAAAUAAUUGUGGUUGCUAUGAUAAUGAUUUUGAUGAUUGUGAUGAUGAUGAUGAUGUUAAUGAUGUUGAAUUAAAGUAUACGUUAUUCUUUGUUUUUAAAAAUAAAUGAGUUUGAUCGUCGACGGCUCAUAGGUAAGAUAAAACAAGUUAGAUAGUCAAACCGGGUUCCAAGCCUUUAAUCGGGUAAUUAGUUGCGGUUAUGAUGAUUCUACUCUUUUGUGAUUUGUUGUGUAGAUAGUCAAACUGGGUUCCAAGCCUUUAAUCGGGUGAUUAGUUACGGUUAUGACGCUAUUAUUAUUUUGUGAUGUGAUAUUGGACGGUCAAACCGGGUUCCAAGCCUUUGGCCGGGUGAUUGGUUACGGUUAGGAAUAGAGCUCUAGUUCGUCUGUCGGUGUAGGUCAUGGGAGGUACCUGAAGGUAUCUGGGACCCAUGGGUACAUAAAUUGUUGUUGUAGGUCAUGAGAGGUAUUUAUUAAUAUCUGGGACUCAUGGGUACAUGUGUUUGUUGUAGGUCAUGGGAGAUACCUUAUUGGUAUCUGAGACUCAUGGGUAUAUGUGUAUUUGUAAAAGUAUUGGUUAUGUGGUUUUAACAUUUUCUUAAUUGUUGUCAUUUAAUUCUUUAUUUGAAUAUCUCCUGAACUAUGCUUAAUGCAGGAGAUUCUUUAAUCGUAAUUGUAUGAUUUUUAGUGAAUUUCCUGAACUAUCCUUUUUGCAGGAUUCACUUAUGAUUUGGAUUGUUGUGGAUUGUUGUGUUUUCUUAUUUACUCACUUUUGAAUUUUAUUGUUUUGAGAUGAUUCCUGAACUAAGUUCUAAAGCAGGAAUUACCAGUUUUAUCUUAUGUGGUGUUGGAGAUGUUGAGUAAAUUUUGAGAAUUACUCACACGAGCUUUUUAGCUUACCGGGUUUGUUGUUACAACCCGGUGCACCAAUUCAUGGUGUAGGGGUUAGACUUGUAGGUGAUGAUCAGCAGGGUUGAGGCAGAAGCAUAGUAGCUGGGUAUUAGAUGAAGUACAUUUUAUUGUAUAAUUUUCAGUUUGUUUUUAGGCGCAUUUGAGCGUCCUUAUUUUUCUAGACUUUUGAAGUUAAUGUAAUUAAGGAGAUGUAAUGUAUAACUCAGUGAUGAGUUUUGUUGAUAUUUAUAUUUCCAGCUUUUGGGUUUAGUUUGGGAUUGUUGAGCAGGUAUUGGAGUCUUAUUUUUGAGUUAUAUCAUGCCCAAAUUUUUGAAAUUUAUCCUUCGAAAAUUAGGGUGUGACAGAAACUGAUUGAAGCAUUUGAUCGAACAGGUGGUGGACAUCUAAUUAAUCAUGUCAUAUCUAAACUCAUGAGAAUUUGUCACAUCUUCACAUCCAAAAUUAAUCAAUCGACAGUCAAAACGAAAUGUAUUCUCAAAGGUCUAGGUGUAGGAGAAGAACGUCUCCUAUCCCUCCACCAUAAUCAAAUCGGCGGUCAAUUCCUACCAUCUCAUAUUUGUUUUGACAUUUUCGUGGAAGACUCCGCUAGAGUGGCAGUGUUCGACGGCGGAGAUCAGCUGCUGGACGUACCGCCGAGCAGUGGCGGAUCUAGGAUCCAAGAGUUGUCUAGGCUAUUUUUACAAGGGCAUAGAAUUUUUUUUGUUUUUGGGUUUCGAACCUCUCAGGGAAGGGGAAACUAAGUAAAACGUAUCUUACAAGAUCUGCUCACUUCAAACUCAUCAAUCACAGAUUUAUUAUCAAUGUUAUCGACAAUUUUUUACGAUAUAGAGAAUCAUCAUAUCAUCAAGAAACUUUGGAUAUCUUGUGUGGACUUGACUCAUGAUCUGUUUCUAUUUAAGCCUUAUAUUUUCAUUGAUUAUCAUGUUUGAAUUUCUUUAUGGACAAAUAAAUAUGCAGAGCUUUAAAAACUCAAGAUUUCAAAGGAUAUAUUUACAAGACUACAAGGUAGCGAACUAAUCUCUUAUUAGAUUUAGAAGACUAUCAUGCCCAAAGAUGGGGAACUAAAUGUUUCUUCUCACUCUUGUUUAGGUUAUGGGAUGUAAAUAUAUAUACCUAUAUAUACUUGAGGGUUUUUGGCCAAAAAAACUAUCUAGGCUUGAGCCUAUAUAGCCCUUCAUGUGUAUCCGCCCAUGCCGCCAAGGUGCCGCCGUUGACGACGGAGACUCGGAGAGACUAGGGGAGGGUGUCUCAGAGAGCUCCACCUCGAACUUCGAUCUAUACUCCUUGAUGAGGAAAACGAGAAUAGAAGAUCAAACCUUGCUGCCAAGUGCCGACAACGACGAUGGAAGGGAUGGAGUCCUAGAGAGCUCUGCCAUGAUCUUCGAUCUAAGAUCCUUGACGAGCACCACACGCUCCUCGACUUUCAGCUCCGAUUUCUGAUGAGGUAACUAUCUACAGCGAUGGUGUGCCCCAUGGAUGGAGGGUUCCGGCGAUGUAAGGCUAGGGUUCCGGCGAGAUCUGGUUGGUCAUGGAGAGAGAGAGAGAGAGAGAGAGAGAGAGAGAGAGAGAGAGAGAGAGNNNNNNNNNNNNNNNNNNNNAGAGAGAGAGAGAGUUUUUUUUUAAUGGAGAGAGAAACAGAUUUGUAGCCUUGUAAGGAAAGGAGGAUGUUGAAGGUAUAUUAUAAAAAUAAAAUGAUAGAUUUAGCCUUGUAAGUGGACUUGUAUAGGUAAAAAUGUUUGGGUGGACUUAUGAAGAAGGGGACUUCUAUGAAAUUUUCUAUAAUCUAUUUUGAUAAGUGAGUCCUAUGUUUUUUGGUUCACUUUGUGAUGUUAGGUGAGCGAGAAAAGUGUAAUGGGUACUACCUUACGAUUUUAUUUGUCUUUUAUAUGCAAAGCAGUAGAUCGAUUCAUGAUGUACAUAUAUUUCGAUGGAAUGAAGAUCCAUUUAAUUCAAAAAAAAAAAGUGUGGAAACCAGAUUUGAGCUAUUUACAUUAAAAACAGGUUUAUACGCAAAGCAGUAGAUCGAUUCAUGAUGUACAUAUAUUUCGAUGGAAUGAAGAUUCAUUUAAUUCAAAAAAAAAAAGCGUGGAAACCAGAUUUAAGCUAUUUACAUUAAAAACAGGUUUAUAGAGGACUAUCGAAAAAAUCUCAAUUAUGUGUCAUUUCUUGAGGAGGGGGUCUUUUUAGAUGGAGCUCUGCAAUGGUUACACAAUACACACGAAAGAGCUCCGUUGUACGACGAUGAUUCACUAAUGUCGCAUGUCAGUGAUGUGACUAAUUUUCAAAAUAUAUCACAUGAUAGUUUGCAAAUAGCCAAGGUUAGACAAAAUUGACUGAAUUCGAACUUGGAAAGUGUAUGUGGGCAUGGGAUAUGAGAAAGUCUAAGAUCAGGUUAUGAGCUUAUGUUCUUAGAACAUCUCUAACCCUCAACGUCAGUGGCAUACCUAGAAAUGUCGCUGAAGAGGGUCAAACUCAAAUAAGUUUUUAAACGAAAGAACAUUAUAUGAUUACUUAAAUUUUUGAAUAAUCGUUUAAAUGAUUGACCCUUCUCGACCCACCCCUUUAUUGUCAACGUUAUCAGUUAUUUGAAAUAACAAACUCACCAUUACUUGAAACUGAAGCCUUACUUAUCUUCUAAACGAAUACUGAUAUCAUUUCUCUUCAAUUCUAAAUGAGACUUCAAGUUUUAUUCCUGUCAACUGAUGCUUAAAUUCAUUUAGAAGAGCAAUUGUUUUUGUUUGAAUACCUCUUUAUAUCCUUCUACAAAAGAAGCCCAAAAAGAAAAGAGCAACAAAGAACUUGGCCCAAUCUAAUAGUAACCCUCUGCCAAAAAAAAAGAAAAAAAAACUAGAUAGCAACCGAACAGCACUAGGGAUCUUCAUCAUCUUUUUUUUUUUUUUUUUUUAUUGCAUCUAUUGCCACCCCACAAACCACUUUGAUCACCCCACACGUUGUUAAUUUAUUGAAUAACUAAUAUACCUAAUGUAAAAUUACAACAAGGGACAAUAAGUUGUUACAAAUUACAAAUUACAAAUUACAAAUUCUUUUUUUUUUUUAGAUAAACACAUAUUUCAUAAACCUUAACCCAUAAUUUAUCAUAUUCGAUCUUUCUAUGAAGUCUGAAGAAGACACUAGCAUUCAACUCAAGAUGAGAUGAACUGUUUGUAUUUUUCUUUUUUCUUUAUUGAUGUUUCGUCUAUCUCUUUACUCAUUAUUUCUCAUGUCGAUUUUGUAUGUAAAUUUUCAUGUCUAGUCGCUCACUUAUAUAUAUUCGAUUUGUUUUUUUUUUCAUUGGCGUCAGAGCUUUUUCCAAGUAGUGUUUACAUACAUUAUGCAUCUUCAUAUCGACAUAUACCAAUGAGUUGUUAAGUUUGAGAGUUUUUUCUUGUUCUUUAAUUAAGAUUUAUACUUUAAUGUGAUUUUUAUUAUUUAGUUUGUGAUUCCACUUACCCAAAUGAUAUGAAUCUUAUGGUUUUCUACAGUUUCAUUUUGUUUUUGGAGUUCAAUGGUUAUUGGAAGAGGAUGAUAUUGUGUGUAUUGCAAAUCAGUGAAUAAAGUAAAUUAAAAAUUAUAUAAGCGGGGUAAGAAGAGAUUGAAUAUAGGGUGAACAAAGUAAAUCUGAAAUUGAAAAAAAAAAUAUAUGUAGGGUGAAAAAAGAAUUUAGGGUGAAUAAAACAAAAAUGAAAAAAAAUGUAUUUUAGAUAUUGUAAAUGGAUGAAUAAAGUAAACUUACAAUUAAAAAUAUAUAAAUAAGGUGUGAAGAGAACCUGUGGUGAACAAAAUAAUUUAUGGGAUGGCAAUAGAUGCACCUUUUUUUUUUUUUUGAAAACAAGAUCUUCAUCUUCAUCUUCUUAUCUUCUUGUAGAGUUGGAGCCACUGAAUGAUUAAAAAAUGAAGAACAACAAAUGAUUAAAAAGUGGAACAAAGUCAGCAAAGAAACUAAAUUGAUGAUAUUAGAAUAGACAAGAUCACCAAACUUUCGCCAUCCAUCCGUUACUCAAUGCACUACUAAAGCUACAGCCUUUGGGUCUCUUCGUUAGCUUAGCUUUAUCAUACCAUUAUUAUAGUAUGGACUAUGGAGAAUAGAUCUGCAAAGAUUUGUACUUGUGUGUGUCUUUAUAUAUCUCACGGACAAGUAAACUGAAAUGCCAUCAUAUUUCCCAAAAAAAAAAAACAAACUGAAAUGCCAUCAUUGUAGUUUUAUAGUUCUACCCAGAUCUUCAAAGAAAAGGAGAAUGGAGAUGAGAGUAAUUGGAGACCGAGAGCACAAAACUCCAGGCUUUUUCAAAAUACUGUUUCAUUCACCCAAUGCCAUAUAUUUCAACCAUUUUUCUAAAUUAUGGAAUAAAAAGGGCAGCUGAUCGAAAACGUUUAAUGAAUGGCAUUAGCCUACUAAGUUUCGGACCUUUUGGUAAGACAGUUUUUUAGGAACAUAUAUGUAGAAAUUAAGCAACAGAUAAGAGGAAUUGGAACAUAUUAAGUGAGCGUUCAUGCGACUCCCUACAGUUCCCAGUCCAGUCAAGAGUAUUACCAGUCCAGUCAUGUCGACACAGUUUCCGGCGUUCGCUGUUCUUAUUGUCAUCCUACUGGUGUUCAUCUCUCUUGCUCUAGCCGAAGUGCAUUAAUUACUACGAUUUUAUGGUAAGUUCUUUUUCAAUGAUUGAUUUCCCAGUUCAUUCAUCUAUUCACUUCAAGCAUUCUAGCUUAGUAUUGUUAUUCAUUCUAGAUACUCCUGCUGUCCUGCAUGCAAUGAUGCGAUGAUACAAGAACUAAUGCCAAUGUUUUGUCAAAUUAUGUGCCUCUUGGUCAUCACAAUUUUGAUUAAUCAUUUAGGUUAAGGAGGUAAACUUCACUAGAUUGGUGAAUCCAAACUCAUGUUAGUAGUAAACGAGAGUUAUCCAGGUCCAGCAAUACGAGCUCGCAAAGGAGACACUAUUUAUGUUAAUGACUACAAUCAAGGAUAUUACGGAUUCACCAUUCACUGGCAAGUCCCUUCACAGUCCUCCUCUAUCGCAAAGGAGACACUAUUUAUGUUAAUGUCUACAAUCAAGGAUAUUAGUAGCUACCACAGUUGCGUAGGCCCAAGGGGAAAUAUAAAAAUGGAAAGGCAGCUUGCCAACAGCUACCUGGCCGAGCUUAAUUGCCAACUACCUGACCGAGUCCGGCCAUGGCAUUUGUGAUUGUAAAGCCAAGAAAUCAAGCUACUACAGUACUACCUAUCUUUAAAAAGCAAAUCCAACAAAAAUCUUCUUGCAACCAAAAUCAAUUACAAAAUGUGGAAAAGACAAAUGAAAUAUUAGAAGUAUCACCAACCUUUCGCACUCGUCCCGUCACUGAAUGCAGUGUAAUUGGGAACAAAUUUGUUCUAUGCCUUUGUUGGAUGUAAUACCAUUAUUGUUGUAGUGCUUGCAGAAAACUCUUCGAUCGACCUUGAAUAUGGACAUUGGACAUGAUAAUCUGAGAGUUUUUGGAGAUCGAUCGAGAGCAAAAUAUCAUGAUUCUUUCGUCAAGAUUCAAACUCCAUUUUCAAUUUUGGUAAACUUUAAAUGGCAGGUGAACACGUUAAUGAUUGGCCCCGUACCGUAGUUUUCGGACUUUUUGGUAAGAAAGGUUGUUAAGAAGAACAUAUACCUACAUGAAAUCAACAUACUUGAGGAACAAAUAAAUUUAAGCAAGUGUGCGCAAAUCUGCAGCUCCCUAGAUUUCAAAUACUUCACAAACAAACGCGCGCGGCACAGAUUGAAAUCUUUGAGGAGUACUAGUACGUAGUCCAGUCAUGGCGACACAGUUUCUGGUGUUCGCUGUUCUUAUUGUCAUCCUACUGGUGUUCAUCUCUCUUGCUCAAUGCGAAGUGCAUUACCAUGAUUUUAUAGUAAGUAAAUUUUUGAUGCUUUAUUUCCCAGUUCGAUUAUCUAUUCCCUUCAAGCAUUCUAGUUGUUUUGGGCACAAUCCUCAACAGAGGUAGAGAGGUAACUUAAUAGGUCCAAAUGUAAAAAAAAAAGAUUGCGGGCAUGCCACCGCGCGGACGCAAAAAGUAGUGGUCGUAGUAGUGGGGUGCGUUUAGCCUUCUGCUUCUAAUCAAGCGAUUAAGGAUGAAGAGAGCACCAACUCCACCGUAGGGUUCUUCAAAUUCGCCUUGCGUAUUAGGUAAGGACUUACAGUAGUCUACCUGAGCGUCACAAUAUCGAUACUCGAUGUAAGGUCGAGCAAAGCAUCAACUGGAAAGGAAGGGAAAAAAGACAAAGCUCUGAGAAGCGAACAUGGAAACUAAAGCAAAGCUCCAUGGAGCCCUUCAAAAGAAAAAGGUGCUAAGGCUGGAUGCUUUAGCGUCAAGUUUAAUUAUGUUGAAAGUUAUAUUGUAUUUUUGUUAAGUUAUUGUGAGAGUUAGACCAGAUCCUCGAAUUCCCUUAUAUAGAGGUGAAUUCGUUAGUUGUUGAUAAGGAUUCGGUCUUUGCUGCAUAGUCAGUUGAGUUUCACAAGGUCUCGUUUUUCUUGGCAACCACGUAGCUGGGUGACGCAGUUCUAAUCACGUAUGUAGACUUAUUUUAGGGCCAUAGGUAUUGGCCUAAAGCGAGUCAAAGACUUGUGGAAGUCUUCAACGUAAAUGUAGCGUAGGCAAUAUUAAUCACUUGCUUGAUAUAAUUAUGUUUCGGCGAAGUAACUAAUUGCCUCUAUCUAGAAGAGUUGAGUUAGAACAACUCAACUCAUGGAGACUUGCGAACCUUGAGGACUUCAAACUACUGGAUGCACAUGCAUUUGCAUACAUGUGAUUAAGGAAUAGAAACCUUAACACAUGCAAACGCUUCCACUGGCGAGCCGCGCACAUAUAGCCCCUUUUAUGCAAUUAAAAAUAAUAGCUUUCUUUUCCAAUCAAACAACCAUGCGGAGCUCGCCUCAUAUAGUCCCCUUUUUGUAUGCGAACUCUUCUUCUUGAUUCUUCGCGAAGUUCUUCUCCUAUGCGAAGUCGCGAAGUCCUUCUCCUACGCGAAGUCAUCUUGCACGCGAACUAUGUCACUCAGCUCGCCUGGUUCUGUUGGCGGGUCAUCACUUGUAAACCCAAUUUGGGCUCACCGGUGUAACGUGAACCAUAAAUUUAAUUAAUAUUCACUUAGACAAUUAUUGUCUAAUAAAAUAUUAAUUCUAGAUGUAAACACUAUUAUCUGUAUUGUGCGUUAUUCAUUCCAGCUAUACUCGAUCAUGCAUGGAAUCAUAACAUAACUAAUUUGUUCUGAUCUUUAACUAAUUUAGGAAUGUGCAUCUUGGUAAUUGCAAUUUUUUAUUAAUCAAUUAGGUGAAGGAGGUAAACUUCACAAGAUUGUGUGAAUCAAAGCUCAUGUUAGUAGUAAACGAGAGUUAUCCAGGUCCAGCAAUACGAGCUCGCAAAGGAGACACUAUUUAUGUUAAUGUCUACAAUCAAGGAUAUUACGGAUUCACUAUUCACUGGCAAGUCCCUUCACACGAUCGACCUCCUCUCUGUUUAUAUAUUGCUUCCUUUACUUGAUAUAAUACUUGUACUUUACAUUAUUAAAUUGAUCAUCUUUUAUCUUUGUAAAUUAACAUGCAAACACUUGGUAUGAUGAUCCAGGCAUGGCGUAAAACAACCAAGAAAUCCAUGGUUUGAUGGCCCAGAAUAUGUGACACAAUGUCCAAUCUUACCUGGUACUAAUUUUACCUAUCAAGUUCAGUUGAGCACAGAAGAAGGAACACUAUGGUGGCAUGCUCAUAGUGAUUGGACUAGAGCAAGCGUUCACGGUGCCAUUGCUGUAUUGCCUGCUCUUGGAACAACAUUUCCAUUUCCUGAGCCUGAUGAAGAGGAGAUCA